GCUAAAUUGUGUUUCCCCCCACCGAAAUUCAUGCGUUGAAUCCUAAUCCCCAGUACCUCAAAAUGUGACUGUAUUUGGAGGUAGAAACUUUAAAAGGUGAUUAAGUUAAAAUGAGGUCAUUAGGGUGGGCCCUAAUCCAAUCUGACUGGUGUCUUUAUGAGAAGAGGAGAUUAGGCCACAUGGAGAAACCAGGGAUGCCUGCACACAGAGAAAAGACCUUUUGAGGAUGUAGUGAGAAGAUACCAUCUGCAAGGCAAGGAAAAGGGCCUCAGAAGAAACCAAACUCACAAGAAAGCCAACACCUUGAUCUUAGACUUCCAGCCUCCAGAAUUGUGAGAAAACACAUUUCUGUUUAAGCCACCCAAUCUGUGGUGUUUUGUGGUGGCAGCCCUAGCAAACUAAUACAGGUAGCUACUGUGAAUGGGAACUUCCCGUAUUAUAUAUUACAUCUCUAACCAGUUAUUUGUUUUGUAGGAAAUAUGAUGAUUUUGUAGUUUAUUUUCCUGGAUUUUCUGGAUGGAAAAAUGUUUUUAUCUGCAAAUGAUCACAGUUUUGCUGCCCACUUUCUAGUCAUUUUGCCUUUUGUUUUUUUUUCUUUUCUUUUUUUUUUUUUUUUUUGAGACAAGAGUCUCGCUCUGUCACCCAGGCUGGAGUGCAGUGGUGUGAUCUCGGCUCACUGCAACCUCCAUCUCCUGGGUUCAAGCGAUUCUUCUGCCUCAGCCUCCUGAGUAGCUGGGACUACAGGCACAUGCCACCAUGCCCGGCUAAUUUUUGUAUUUUUAGUAGAGAUGGGGUUUCACCAUGUUGGCCAGGAUGGUCUCGAUCUCCUGACCUCGUGAUCCACAUGCCUCGGCCUCACAAAGUGCUGGGAUUACAGGCAUGAGCCACCACUCCUGGCCUUUUAUUUCUUUUUAAAUCCUUGCUCAUAUAUCUUUGAGUAUAUCUGUGAAUAUUUCUAUCAGACAAAUUCAUAAAAGUUAUUACUAGUUUGUAAUGUUCCUUUUUCUAAAGAAUGGGCAUGCAGUUUUAUUAAAUAUCUUUUAGUGUCCAUUGAGAUGACCAUUUUUUUCCCUUUAUUCUGUUUUUUUAUAUGUAUUACAUUAGCCCAUCUCCAAUAUUAAACUAGCUUUGUGUUUCUGGGAUAAAAACUCCUUUGACAUUUGACGUGUGCUGACACUGACAUUCUUUGAGUAAAUAAAAUAAAAAACAGGAGUAUACCAGUGUACACCAACAUACCCUGCUGCUUUAUUCGGGUUACUGACUAUACUUUCUGUCUGAAAUUGUCUGCUGUGUCCUCAGUAGAUGACUCUAUUUAGUAACUACAAACCCUGAGUCAGGCUUUCAGAAUGCCCUUCUUUUUAUUUAUUAGUAGAGAUGAGAUCUUGCUAUGUUGCCAGCGCUGGUCUCGAACUCCUGGGCUCAAGUAAUCCUCUCUCCUCAGCCUCCCAAAGUGCUGGGAUUACAGGCAUGAGCCACUGUUCCUGGCCAGAGUGACCUUCUAAUGGUGCUUCCAUGGACCUCUCCUUUGCUCCUAUUUUCUUUCUCUUGCUUUUGGAGCUGCUCCUUUAGAGGUGAGACCACCCUUCAAGUGGGUGAAAUCAGCUGUGAGUCUCUCAUUGCUUCUGUGUACUUCCCACAGCCUAGUAAAUUUUCUCUUUGCUCCUCAAGCCCUGGAACAUUUGGGCCUCCACCCACCUGUCUUACUCUCUGCGGAGAGUCUUGCUUCAUAUUUAGAGUCAGAUUAAGACCAGUGGAAAUGAACUGCCUUACAUUUUCUCUGUUUCAGCAUAUCUUCCUCUGUCACCUAUUUUCUCCAGGUUUGGAUAAAAGGUAGUCUCUCCUGAUAAUUCUCAACACCUGAUGGACACCUAUUCCAGGAGAACACUCUGCAUCCUGAAGCUCAUUCUGUCCUAAAUGGAUCCCAUAUCUCCUCUCAACGCAGAGACAAAAACAAACAUUCCUUAGGCCUAGGACCAUCACUUCCCUUGUGUCUGUUCAUGGACCACAAUACCUUGCCUGCUUCAAUGGCUGCAAGUGUUUAUCAUCUCUGUCUUGUCUGGGCCCUGCAUACAAGUGACCUGCCCUCAUAUCCAACACUCCAGUUUAGACUCCAGUAACCUCUUACUGGUGGGUUCUAAUAACCUUUUAAUAACUUCCCUCUAUCUUGCCCCUUGCUUUAUAUUGAGAUCAUAUUCAUUGUUUCCCCUCCAUCUUGCUGCCUGGAUCAUGAAUGAUGUCUAUACCACAGGGACCAGGAUGCCAUCUAGGGACAAUGGAGCAAUGAGCUGGGAGGAACCUGGAUCCUGAACAUUGUGUGGAGUACAGCUGUCAUAAGGCUGAGGUUGCAUUGUGUGUGUGUGUGUGUGUGUGUGAGUGAGUGUGUGUGUGUGUGUGUUGUUUACUUUAACCUGAGCUUAUGAGAGCUCUGGGUAAUGUAAAUAGAAUAGCUCCUUUAGGAAGUGUCUUAGUCAUUUUGGGCUGCUAUAACAAAAAUGCUGUAUACUGGUGGCUUAAAUAACUAUUUAUCAUAAUUUUGGAGGCUGGGAAGUCCAAGAUCCAGACACUGGCAGAUCUGGCAUCAGGUGGGGGCCUGCUUCCUGGCUUAUAGACAGUUGCCUUCUUGCUGUAUCUUCACAUAGCUGAUGGAGAGAUCAUUUUGCUCUUAUGUCUUCUUAUAAGGGCACUCAUCCCAUUUGUGAAGGCUCCACCCUCAUGACCUGAUUACCUCCCCAAAGCACUACCUGCUAGUACCAUCACAUUGGGGAUUAGGCUUCAACCUAUACAUUUUAUGAGGAAAUGAACAAUCAGUCCAUAUCAGGGAGAAAUAAAUAUAUGUAACUAUAAUCACAAGUUAAGUAGUUAAAAUAAAAAAUAUCAAUAUCUUAUUCUGUGUGUGGCCCUGCCAAUUUACUAAAAGCUAUCAUAAAGGACACUGAUCAUAAAACUUAGCCAAUCAUUUUAGCCUGCACAAAUUCUAUACGGUAUUUGAAAUAAUCAACCAAACAAUAAUUCUUCAAACUUUGUUUCGUUUUGUUUUGUUUUGAGACAGUUUCGCUCUGUCGCCCAGGCUGGAGUGCAGUGGCACAAUCUCGGUUCACUGCAACCUCUGCCUCCCGGGUUCAAGCAGUUCUCUUGCCUCAGCCUCCCAAGUAACUGGUACUACAGUUUGUCCUCGGCUGUUACAGAGAAUUGAUACAAAAAAUGAUCAUGUGAAGAAUUUGCAUCUUCUGCAGAACUACCGGUAUCAGUCAGCAGUAGGAGAUUGCCAGACACGGUGGCUCACGCCUAUAAUCCUAGCACUUUGGGAGGCUGAGGUGUGUGGAUCACUUGAGCCCAGGAGUUCAAGACCAGCCUGAGCAACAUGGUGAAACCCCAUCUCUGCAAAAAAUACAAAAAUUAGCCAGGCGUGGUGGUGUGUACCUGUGGUCCCAGCUGCUGGGAAGGCUGAGGUGGGAGGAACAUUUGAGCCCAGAAGUUGAGCCGUGAUCACGCCACUGCACUCCAGCCUGGAUGACACAGCAAGACCUUGUCUCAAAAAAUAAAAUAAAAUAAAUUUUAAAAAA
ensembl:lncRNA novel transcript